rnacentral:rRNA from 1 species
GAUGAACGCUAGCUACAGGCUUAACACAUGCAAGUCGAGGGGUAACGAGAGGAAAGCUUGCUUUCCUUGUCGACGACCGGCGCACGGGUGAGUAACGCGUAUCCAACCUGCCCCCAACUAGGGAAUAACCUUGCGACAGUAAGACUAAUACCCUAUAAUUUCCUCAGAUGUCAUCUGACGAGGAAUAAAGGUUUAUCGGUUGUGGAUGGGGAGGCGUCUGAUUAGCUUGUUGGCGGGGUAACGGCCCACCAAGGCAACGAUCAGUAGGGGUUCUGAGAGGAAGGUCCCCCACAUUGGAACUGAGACACGGUCCAAACUCCUACGGGAGGCAGCAGUGAGGAAUAUUGGUCAAUGGGCGGAAGCCUGAACCAGCCAAGUAGCGUGCAGGAUGACGGCCCUAUGGGUUGUAAACUGCUUUUAUACAGGAAUAAAGUUAGCCACGUGUGGUUAUUUGUAGGUACUGUAUGAAUAAGGACCGGCUAAUUCCGUGCCAGCAGCCGCAGUAA